UAGGGAAUCUUCCACAAUGGAUGCAAGUCUGAUGGAGCAACGCCGCGUGAGUGAAGAAGGUUUUCGGAUCGUAAAGCUCUGUUGUUGGUGAAGAAGGAUAGAGGUAGUAACUGGCCUUUAUUUGACGGUAAUCAACCAGAAAGUCACGGCUAACUACGUGCCAGCAGCCGCGGUAAUACGUAGGUGGCAAGCGUUGUCCGGAUUUAUUGGGCGUAAAGCGAGCGCAGGCGGAAGAAUAAGUCUGAUGUGAAAGCCCUCGGCUUAACCGAGGAACUGCAUCGGAAACUGUUUUUCUUGAGUGCAGAAGAGGAGAGUGGAAUUCCAUGUGUAGCGGUGGAAUGCGUAGAUAUAUGGAAGAACACCAGUGGCGAAGGCGACUCUCUGGUCUGCAACUGACGCUGAGGCUCGAAAGCAUGGGUAGCGAACAGG
rnacentral:rRNA from 1 species